rnacentral:misc_RNA from 1 species
GAUGAAGAACGCAGCGAAAUGCGAUAAGUAAUGUGAAUUGCAGAAUUCAGUGAAUCAUCGAAUCUUUGAACGCACAUUGCGCCCAUUAGCAUUCUAGUGGGCAUGCCUGUUCGAGCGUCAUUUCAACCCUUAAGCCCUGUUGCUUAGCGUUGGGAGCCUACAGUACUAUAGCUCCCCAAAGUUAGUGGCGGAGUCGGUUUCACACUCUAGACGUAGUAAUUUUUUCUCGUCUGUAGUUGAGCCGGUCCCCUGCCGUAAAACACCCAAUUUAUCAAGGUUGACCUCGGAUCAGGUAGGAAUACCCGCUGAACUUAAGCAUAUCAAUAAGCGGAGGA